GAACGAUGGCACGGAUCCGAGAGGUCCAAUU
rnacentral:piRNA from 1 species